CGAUAGUGAGAGGCCCGCGCACCGCAAUGAAGAGUGGCCCCCGCUCACUGCAACUAGAGAAAGCCCUCGCACAGCAACGAAGACCCAACACAGCCAAAAAUAAAUAAAUAAAAUUAAAAAAAAAAAAAGAAGCACUGAGACGGUCUCAGAGAUUUAAGGAGUCCAGUUUUAUUCUAUAUCCUCCUCCCCGAUAUGAAAAGAAGAUGAUUCUUCUUGUGGGCUUCAGCCUUUUAUUUUUCUACAAGGACGUGCUGUGUAACCAAGUGACCCAGAUUUCCCAGGAGCAGAUAGUGGCGAGUGGCAGUGAGGUGACACUGCAGUGCAUUUUCCAAACCACAUACUCAGAUCCAGACUUAUACUGGUACCAAAUAAGACCAGAUGGUUCCUUCCAGUUUGUCCUGCACAGGAAUAACAAUAACUCCCAUGAUGCGGAUUUUGCUCGGGGUAGAUUUUCCGUGCAGCACAGCCUGACCCACAAAACCUUCCACUUGGUGAUCUCCUCAGUGAGGCCUGAAGACAGUGCCACUUACUACUGUGCCUUGCGCUCCCACGGUGAUGCAGGUGUCCAGGAAGUCUGCACACAAACCACUGGGCACAACCUGGCAGAGCUGCCUCUCCGGACAGUUCAUGUCCUUGGACACAUCAUCCUUCUCCCCUGUCAUUCUGUGGUCCAGUCUGGCCUUUAGAGGUGCCCUAACCUGUCUGCCAAAUAAGAAAAGGCCUGGUCACAUCCAGGGGAGCACCCUGGCUUCCGAUGGAGCAGACAUCUCCCGACUUCUGA